rnacentral:rRNA from 1 species
UCGAACGAAGACCCGGAGCUUGCUCCGGAAUUCUUAGUGGCGAACGGGUGAGUAACGCGUGGGAAUCUACCUAGAAAUGGGGAAUAACUAUUGGAAACGAUAGCUAAUACCGCAUAAUCCCUUAGGGGCAAAGGCUUCGGCCGUUUUUAGAUGAGCCCGCGUUAGAUUAGGCUGUUGGUGAGGUAAUGGCUCACCAAACCUACAAUCUAUAGCUGGUCUGAGAGGAUGAUCAGCCACACUGGGACUGAGACACGGCCCAGACUCCUACGGGAGGCAGCAGUGGGGAAUAUUGGACAAUGGGGGAAACCCUGAUCCAGCAAUGCCGCGUGAGUGAUGAAGGCCUUAGGGUUGUAAAGCUCUUUCAGAAGUGAAGAUGAUGACGGUAACUUCAGAAGAAGCUCCGGCUAACUCCGUGCCAGCAGCCGCGGUAAUACGGAGGGAGCUAGCGUUGUUCGGAAUUACUGGGCGUAAAGAGCGUGUAGGCUGUUAGGUAAGUCAGAGGUGAAAUCCCUAAGCUCAACUUAGGAACUGCCUUUGAUACUAUCUUACUAGAGAUCGAGAGAAGUUGGCGGAUUUCCAA